UGCCUUGUGGCGGGAGCGACGGGAGGCACAGAGGAAGGUGGUGUUGCACACAGAUGCACGAAGACGCCUGGAAUCUCAGCUAAGUCAUGUAGCUAUGGCAUUUAUUUACAUGGAACAUUUUAAGCUCAGCAAAGCAGUGUUUAGACUUUUAAAAUUACCCAAGCUGACUCUCUUUGAGGUGGAGGGUAAGACUUUAAGGCACCUAAGCAUUAAAAAUUUACAUUACUGUAUCAUCAGAAUUUGUCACAAUGGCUUGUAUUACAAAUAAAAGGGUUUCACUUUGAUAACUUUUAAAGUAGGUUAUAGAAUGGAAUGUAUAUUCCUAUUAAAAACGCCUAUUUCAGAUUAAUUAUGCUUACACAAUUUUUCCUAAGGAAAAAAAAAAAACCCAAAAACAAACAAACAAAAAAAUAAUCCAAACUUGACCUUAACUAUUUCCCAUGUAGCUGGCAGGAAAUAAGCCGAUUUCUCAUGUUCUUAAAAUGGACGACAAAGAAAAAAAUUCAUUACAUCAGAAAUACUUUUUUUUUUUAAGUUUAUUUAUUUUUGAGAGAGAGAAAAAGAGAACAUGAGCUGGGGAGGGGCAGAGAAGGGUGGGGGAGAGAGAGAAUCCCUAGCAGGCUAGGCUAUCAGUGCAGAGCCCAACAUGGCACUUGGCUUGAUCUCGGAAACUGUGAGACCAUUCCCUGAGCCAAAAUCAAAAGUCAGAAGCUUAACCGACUGAGCCACCCAGGUACCCCUUUUUAGAAAUACUUUUAAGAAGAUAUUACCUCCCUCAGUUUGUUGGUUCUUUAAAUAAUCUAGAAGUUCAGCUGAAAAUGUUAAGUUUAUGAACUGCAGGACUGAAAGAACAUACUAUAAACAUGGAACACAGCAAAACAUUUCUAAGUGAUACAAUUUUAGUCCUGUAACAUUAACAAUUCCGAAGAUAUUGAAUGAAAAUAUAUUUAUUGUAAUCAUCUAACCUAACAGUUUCAUCAAAAACACGAAUUUUAGUAGAGGAAACAACUCAAUUUUUAUUUCAACUUAAAUAGGGAACAAGUGUCUUUUGCUAUACUUUUGUUCGCACUGUGUACGAGCAAAUUGGAUAGGCCUUUUCACAGAGCACCAGGAAAGGGAUAAAAUAUACAUCCACCAAGUCCCUACCAGCGUGCCCUAGCAAAGCUGCGGCUCUAAGACCGCCAUAGCUAGAUGAGCUCAGUAUCGAUCUAUGACAGAAUGUUUUUAGCAUAAUACCAUUCACAACAUCAGUUCUCAGGAAAUGCUCAUCAGUAUGGUAGGAAGCCAGCAAACCCUUCAAGACUCCUUUCAAGGAAACCAAAGAGAAGAAUGUGUAUUCACGGUACAGUAACAAAGGGAUGGUGACAGGUUACAUCUCUCAUGUUAUUCUUGAACUUGGUCCCUGUGAGAUCUGUAUUCUACAAAUGACUGAAUCUUUUAACUUUUUACACAUAAGUUCUAACGCACCUGUUUUUUUAAUAGAGGCUUUUUAUAAUGGUGCCAUCAACUUCUGUAUUUUGUAGUCUGAGAGAGAAUCACGGGAGAAAUUCAAGUUUAUUUAGCAUCAACUUGGCAAUACCUACCACAAAUGUACUGAUAACAAUAUUAAACUUUUGUUGACACAUUUAAAAAAUUAUUUUUAAUGUUUACCUAUUUUUUUGAGAGAGAGAGAGAGGGGUGGGUGGGUGAAGCGAGAGGGAGACACAGAAUCUGAAGCAGGCUCCAGGCUCUGAGCUGUCAGCACAGAGCCCAAUGCGGGCCCCAACUUAUGAACCACGAGAUCAUGAUCUGAGCCAAAGUCAGAUGCUCAACGGACUGAGCCACCCAGGCACCACCCCCCC